UACAGAGGUCCCAAGCGUUGUUCGGAUUCAUUGGGCGUAAAGGGUGUGUAGGUGGCGCCGUAAGUCGGGUGUGAAAUUUCGGAGCUUAACUCCGAAACUGCAUUCGAUACUGCCGUGCUUGAGGACUGGAGAGGAGACUGGAAUUUACGGUGUAGCGGUGAAAUGCGUAGAUAUCGUAAGGAAGACCAGUGGCGAAGGCGGGUCUCUGGACAGUUCCUGACGCUGAGGCACGAAGGCCAGGGGAGCAAACGGG
rnacentral:rRNA from 1 species